rnacentral:misc_RNA from 1 species
GUGAAUUCCUCUCUUUUUCAAUUUUAUCAGUUUUCUCAUAGUUCUUCGACACCCAUCUUGCAAAGAUCAUUACAACAACUUCAUUCAUGGGAUAUUGCAUUUUCACAUACUUGUAUUUGCAAAUAUCUACAAAUACAUGAACCUGCUUGUCUAAUGCAUGAAGGCAAUGUACUUGAGUGUUCUUCGUGUGGGGCAAGCCUUAUAAUCAAUAUUAAUAGAAAGGGUAAAUUUCACGCGUCAUUCCUGAAUUUAGGGUGUUGUAAGACUGUUGUCCUUAAACUUCAAUAUGUAACAUAAAACAUCCCCAACAUUAAUUUAGCGAACAUAAAAACCCUUUUGACCUUUAACAUCAGGUUUUCCGAUAAUAAAACGUGAAAUGUCUUAAAUACUCAACUCAAC